UUAUGAAGUUCUUUUCACUCGUCGUUACUAUUUUAUGAGGAAACUGAGUUUCAAGAAAGGAAGCGACGUGCUUCGGGUCUACCGGCAAGGGCAAAGGCGGGAUUCCAGCCUGGGAGCGGGACAUCUGUCUCCCCUGCGGUCCGGCCCCCUGGGUGGGGCCUCGGCUUUAUCUCCGGAUGCGGGGCCCUCAUGACCCCAAAAGGAAGCGUGUGGCGAGGGACUGAGUGGAGUCGUGGCCUCGCCCUUGGCCUGGGUUGGGUGGCGCGCUUUCCUCUCCCUCUGUGAAGGGGGCUGGUACCUGGCCGGCUGUCCCCACACCCACCAUUCCCAGACGCGCCAUCCUGAGCUCACAGGAUUCCUCAGGAAUCCCCCACCUCCUCCACCCCAUCUUAUCGCCACUUCAAGCCGUUGCCCGUGCAGUUCUUUUCCCAGGGAGACCUAACUCCUCCUCCCAGGCUCCCAAAGCGGCAGAGGUAGCCGCGCCUUCUGCCUGGAGCCCUGGACUUAUCUCCCCACGCCUGGGGCGGGUAGUUAGUUACGG
rnacentral:lncRNA from 10 species